UACGGAGGAGGCAAGCGUUAUCCGGAAUUAUUGGACGUAAAGCGUCCGUAGGUGGCUCUUCAAGUCUGCUGUCAAAGAGUGGGGCUUAACCUUGCCAAGGCAGUGGAAACUGAAAGGCUAGAGAGCCGUAGGGGUAGAGGGAAUUCCUGGUGUAGCGGUGAAAUGCGUAGAUAUCAGGAGGAACACCGGUGGUGUAGACGGCUUUCUGGACCGUAACUGACGCUGAGACACGAAAGCGUGGGUAGCAAACAGG
rnacentral:rRNA from 1 species